AACGAACGCUGGCGGCAUGCCUAACACAUGCAAGUCGAACGAGACCUUCGGGUCUAGUGGCGCACGGGUGCGUAACGCGUGGGAACCUGCCCUUAGGUUCGGAAUAACUCCCCGAAAUGGGUGCUAAUACCGGAUAAUUUCUUCGGACCAAAGAUUUAUCGCCUUUGGAUGGGCCCGCGUUGGAUUAGCUAGUUGGUAGGGUAAAAGCCUACCAAGGCGACGAUCCAUAGCUGGUCUGAGAGGAAGAUCAGCCACACUGGGACUGAGACACGGCCCAGCCUCGUACGGGAGGAAGACGUGGGGAGUAUUGGACAAUGGGCGAAAGCCUGAUCCAGCAAUGACGCGUGAGUGAUGAAGGCCUUAGGGUUGUAAAGCUCUUUUAACCGGGAUGAUAAUGACAGUACCGGGAGAAUAAGCUCCGGCUAACUCCGUG
rnacentral:rRNA from 1 species